rnacentral:rRNA from 1 species
UGGGGAAUAUUGCACAAUGGGCGAAAGCCUGAUGCAGCAACGCCGCGUGAGGGACGACGGCCUUCGGGUUGUAAACCUCUUUAGCAAGGAAGAAGCGAAAGUGACGGUACUUGCAGAAAAAGCGCCGGCUAACUACGUGCCAGCAGCCGCGGUAAUACGUAGGGCGCAAGCGUUAUCCGGAAUUAUUGGGCGUAAAGAGCUCGUAGGCGGUUUGUCGCGUCUGCUGUGAAAAACCCGAGGCUCAACCUCGGGCCUGCAGUGGGUACGGGCAGACUAGAGUGCGGUAGGGGAGAUUGGAACUCUUGGUGUAGCGGUGAAUGCGCAGAUAUCAGGAAGAACACCGAUGGCGAAGGCAGAUCUCUGGGCCGUAACUGACGCUGAGGAGCGAAAAGGGUGGGGAGCAAACAGGCUUNGAUACCCUGGUAGUCCACCCCGUAAACGUUGGGAACUAGUUGUGGGGUCCAUUCCACGGAUUCCGUGACGCAGCUAACGCAUUAAGUUCCCCGCCUGGGGAGUACGGCCGCAAGG